rnacentral:rRNA from 1 species
GACGAACGCUGGCGGCGUGCUUAACACAUGCAAGUCGAACGAUGAAGCCCAGCUUGCUGGGUGGAAGAGUGGCGAACGGGUGAGUAACACGUGAGUAACCUGCCCUGAACUCUGGGAUAAGCACUGGAAACGGUGUCUAAUACUGGAUACGACCUAUCACCGCAUGGUGUGUGGGUGGAAAGAUUUAUCGGUUCUGGAUGGACUCGCGGCCUAUCAGCUAGAUGGUGAGGUAAUGGCUCACCAUGGCGACGACGGGUAGCCGGCCUGAGAGGGUGACCGGCCACACUGGGACUGAGACACGGCCCAGACUCCUACGGGAGGCAGCAGUGGGGAAUAUUGCACAAUGGGCGCAAGCCUGAUGCAGCAACGCCGCGUGAGGGAUGACGGCCUUCGGGUUGUAAACCUCUUUUAGUGGGGAAGAAGCGAAAGUGACGGUACCUGCAGAAAAAGCACCGGCUAACUACGUG